UCCCCAAAGGCAAACCCGAUAGAAUUCUUGAAACAAACCUAACUAAAAAACCUCUCUUUCUUCCCCAAAAGCAAACCCAUUAAAACUCCUUAAACAAACCUAUUUUGCUAGCAGACUAAAGAAUCAACGAAGAAACAACAAAUCAAGCAAAAGAUUGUUAUCUAUCCUCUCUCAAACGCUGACCCAAGCACGACCAUGGGUGUUCCUCUCUCAAACGCAGACCCAAGCUCAACCAUGAGUGCCAACGUUUUCAAUCUUCGACCCGGCCGCCAUAUCAGAUCAUUCUCUCUGGUCAGGGAAACACUAAUAGAAAAUCAAAUUCUACAAGUUUUGUAAGAACAUAUUGUGGAUAUGAAUGGGUUUCGUAGUGGAGAUAGUAUUGAAGAGCCUCCCAACCCUCAAAAUCUAUCAACAAUCCUACAGGCUAGUGGAAAAUAACCAACCAAUAGUACAAAUGCCAAAGCAAUUCAAACCACAAGUGACAAUUCAAGAAGAGAUGAACAUCAACAGAAGAACCAUAAGUGAAAUAACAAAAGUUAUGUGGGACUCUGGUAAUGAGGUAUAGAAUUCAAGAGCAAUGUGCAACUCACACUAACAUUUGUACUCAAGGAAAACUAAAGGACAUAUUCAGUGACUACUACAAAGCAACAAAGGAAGAAAAUACAAAAAACGCUUUAAAGUUGUCUUUCAAUUUAUUUUAAAUAUUGAUUAAGUAGUUCUUUAAAUUUGUGUUUCAUACAUUUUAUGGAUAAUAUGGAUAAUUGAGGAU